GAUGAACGCUGGCGGCGUGCCUAAUACAUGCAAGUCGAGCGAACAGACGAGGAGCUUGCUCCUCUGACGUUAGCGGCGGACGGGUGAGUAACACGUGGAUAACCUACCUAUAAGACUGGGAUAACUUCGGGAAACCGGAGCUAAUACCGGAUAAUAUAUUGAACCGCAUGGUUCAAUAGUGAAAGACGGUUUUGCUGUCACUUAUAGAUGGAUCCGCGCCGCAUUAGCUAGUUGGUAAGGUAACGGCUUACCAAGGCAACGAUGCGUAGCCGACCUGAGAGGGUGAUCGGCCACACUGGAACUGAGGCACGGUCCAGACUCCUACGGGAGGCAGCAGGAGGGAAACUUCCGGAAUGGGCGAAAGCUUUACGGAGCAACGGCGCGGGAGUGAUGAAGGUCCUCGGAUCCUAAAACUCUGUUAUUAGGGAAGAACAAAUGUGUAAGUAACUAUGCACGCCUUGACGGUACCUAAUCAGAAAGCCACGGCUAACUACGUG
rnacentral:rRNA from 1 species